UACAGAGGGGGCAAGCGUUGUUCGGAAUUACUGGGCGUAAAGGGCGCGUAGGCGGCCUUCUAAGUCGAACGUGAAAUCCCCGGGCUCAACCCGGGAACUGCGUCCGAUACUGGAAGGCUUGAAUCCGGGAGAGGGAUGCGGAAUUCCAGGUGUAGCGGUGGAAUGCGUAGAUAUCUGGAGGAACACCGGUGGCGAAGGCGGCAUCCUGGACCGGCAUUGACGCUGAGGCGCGAAAGCCAGGGGAGCAAACGGG
rnacentral:rRNA from 1 species